ensembl:lncRNA
GGUCGUUGGAAUUUAGGAAAUGCUCCAUCAUUAAAUUAAAUAUUUUUUGUGCACCAUGAAUUAAUCCAACAAUGUAUAAUGCUGCCAUCUCAACCUGGUCUCAGAGCAUUUCGUAUUAUUAUGGCUUUUGAUUGGGGAAGCAGUGAACCUUCACUGUGGGGACAAUGCCGUUGAUGCAUUUCCUAAUGAAGCCUGUGAUGGAGAGAGAUCCUGGAUGAAAACCUGCUCCAGAGAGCUCAGAACCACAGACGGGAAAAGGUUAACCUUCCAACAGGACAACGACCCUAAGCACACAGCCAAGACAAUGCAGGAGUGGCUUUGGGACAAGUCUCUGAAUGUCCUUGAGUGGCCCAGCCAGAGCUCGGGCUUGAACCUGAUCGAACAUCUCUGGAGAGACCUGAAAAUAGCUGCAGCGACAUUCCCCAUCCAACCUGACAGAGCUUGAGAGAAACUCCCCAAAUACAGGUGUGCCAAGUUUGUAGCAUCAUACCCAAGAAGACUUGAGGCUGUAAUCGCUGCCAAAGGUUCUUCAAAGUACUGAGUAAAGGGUUUGAAAACUUAUGUGAUUUCCUUUUUUUCUUUUUUCUUUUUUAAAUGUGCAAAAAUAAAAAAUAAAUCAUUUUUGCUUUUCA